rnacentral:lncRNA from 1 species
CUCCAAGGUAGCCUACUGUCUCUGGUGGUGAAAGCGGGGACAGCGCUCUCGCAAGUAGCCUACUGUCUCUGGUGGUGAAACGGGGGACAGCGCUCUCCAAGUAGCCUACUGUCUCUGGUGGGAAACGGGGGACAGCGUUCUCCAAGUAGCCUACUGUCUCGGUGGGGAAACGGACGGCCCUCUACGUAGACUACUGUCUCUGGUGGUGAAACUGGGACAGCGCUCUCCAUGUAGCCUACUGUCUCUGGUGGUGAAACGGGGGCGGCGCUCUCCAAGUAGUCUACUGUCUCUGGUGGUGAAACGGGGGACGGCUCUCUCAAGUAGGCACUGUCCUCUGGUGGUGAAACGGACGGCUUCCAAGUAGCCUAAUGUCUCUGGUGGUGAAACGGGGGACGGCGCUCUCCAAGUAGCCGACUGUCUCUGGUGGGGAAACGGGGGACGCGCUCUCCAAGUAGCCGACUGUCUCUGGUGGGGGGGGGGGCGUUCUCCAAGUAGCCUACUGUCUCUGGUGGUGAAACCGGGGGACGGCGCUCUCCAGGUAGCCUACUGUCUCUGGUGGUGAAACGGACGGCCCUCUCCAGUAGCCUACUGUCUCUGGUGGGGAAACGGGGGACAGCGUUCUCCAAGUAGCCUACUGUCUCUGGUGGGGAAACGGACGGCCCUCUCCAAGUAGACUACUGUCUCUGGUGGGUGAAAGGGGGACAGCGCUCUCCAAGUAGUCUACUGUCUCUGGUGGUGAAACGGACGGCCCUCUCCAAGUAGCCUACUGUCUCUGGUGGUGAGACGGAUGGCCCUCUCCAAGUACUCUACUGUCUCUGGUGGUGAAAACUGGGGACAGCGCUCUCCAAGUAGCCUACGUCUCUGGUGGUGAAAACAGGGGACAGCGCUCUCCAAGUAGCCUACUGUUUCUGGUGGGGAAACGGACGGCCCUCUCCAUGGUACUGAUUAAUUCAAAGCAUUUUAGACGUCACUGCAGUACGCCCACAUACUCGGUAUCGCCACGGGGUUUUACACAAGUCCCAAUUUCUUUAUGGCAUCGUUUUCAACA